AAGAGUUGCAAAACUCCCUUCAUAACCAUCGCGAACGCUACCCGAUUCUCGUUGCUUCGGCGGGGGCCCCCUUUCCAAAACGGGGGCCCCCGCCGGAGGGACGCAGCCAUAUACUCUUGUAUUUGCUGGCCUCUCUGAGUACGAUUUAUGCAAAUAAGUCA
rnacentral:misc_RNA from 1 species